UGGGGAAUAUUGGACAAUGGGCGAAAGCCUGAUCCAGCCAUGCCGCGUGUGUGAAGAAGGUCUUCGGAUUGUAAAGCACUUUAAGUUGGGAGGAAGGGCAGUAAGCGAAUACCUUGCUGUUUUGACGUUACCGACAGAAUAAGCACCGGCUAACUCUGUGCCAGCAGCCGCGGUAAUACAGAGGGUGCAAGCGUUAAUCGGAAUUACUGGGCGUAAAGCGCGCGUAGGUGGUUCGUUAAGUUGAAUGUGAAAGCCCCGGGCUCAACCUGGGAACGGCAUCCAGAACUGGCGAGCUAGAGUAGGGCAGAGGGGGGGGGAAUUUCCUGGGUAGCGGUGAAAUGCGUAGAUAAAGGAGGGAAAACCAGUGGCGAAGGCGACCACCUGGGCUCAUACUGACACUGAGGUGCGAAAGGGUGGGGAGCAAACAGG
rnacentral:rRNA from 1 species